UACGUAGGGUGCGAGCGUUAAUCGGAAUUACUGGGCGUAAAGCGUGCGCAGGCGGUUUUGUAAGCCAGAUGUGAAAUCCCCGGGCUUAACCUGGGAAUGGCAUUUGGGACUGCAAGGCUUGAGUGUGGCAGAGGGGACUGGAAUUCCUGGUGUAGCAGUGAAAUGCGUAGAGAUCAGGAGGAAUACCGAUGGCGAAGGCAGCCCCCUGGGCCAACACUGACGCUCAGGCACGAAAGCGUGGGGAGCAAACAGG
rnacentral:rRNA from 1 species